AAUAAAUUCCAUCUUCCACCCAACUAUGUCACCAUAAUCAACACAACUCAAGGGAUUUAAUCAUCACAAAACAGAACUAAACACUCUUUUAUGCUCUCCAUUUAUUUCCAACAAACAAAGUCGAUUUUCUAACCAAUUUCUCAAUAAACACUCGACUUUACAUUUUUUUCUCUUUCUUUCUCUUUUCUUUUUUUUUCUUCUUUUUUUUUCUUUUUCUUGAACUAAUUUUUUUUUUCUUUUCUUUCCACAACUUUUCUAGAGCUCAUAAGAGUAAAUAGUAUCAUAAUAUCAUCCCUUCUUUUUCAUGAACCACUAUGAUAUUCACCACACAAAGAUUCCCAUAUACUUCAUCACCCCCUAUCAUCCGGCUAAAGAAUAAAAGCUAAAUAGGCUCAAAGUGG
rnacentral:lncRNA from 1 species